UAAACCCUACAGUCAAAGCAAUGGGGAUGGUCCCUGAGAGUGGUGUGCAAGCUCAAGUUCGAGUUGAGAAGCCUGAAGCUCUUAUCACUGUCGCCCACCUUAGCGAAACCGGGUUUG
rnacentral:sRNA from 2 species